CCUCUCCAAGCCCGCCCCCCGAGCACCCCACGCCCCCACGGCGGGCCCGCCCACCGACGGACAACCCAAACCCCCGCAGUCGAUCCAGCGCCCGAGAGGCUCAAUAGUUACAACUCUCAACACCGGAUCUCUUGUUUCUGGCAUCAAUAAGAACGCCACCAAAUGCUAUUAGUUGGUGUUGACUUGGGGAAUUCAGUGAAUUAUCAAAUCCUUUGUACUCACAUUGCGCCCGCUUGUUAUUCCUAUGGUGGCAUGUUUGUUCGAGCGUCAUUUGUACCUUCAAGCUCUGCUUGGUGUUGGGUGUUUGUCUCCUGUAGACUCGCCUUAAAACAAUUGGCAGCCGGCGUAUUGAUUUCGGAGCGCAGUACAUCUCGCGCUUUGCACUCAUAACGACUACGUCCUAAAGUACAUUUUUACACUCUUGACCUCGCAUCACGUAGGGAUACCCGCUGAACUUAA
rnacentral:rRNA from 1 species